GCAACAGGCUGAGCUGUCCAGCAGGCUGCAUUGGAACCACGAGAGUGCUGAGUGCAUCUGAGCUCACAGAGUCUGUACAGACAAAACUACGUGCAGAGAUCUCCAAGCAAAGCCCCCCUGAAGUGACCAACAAAACAAAAAUGAUGUGAGAACAUCUGUCUAUAUUAAAGGCUUCCAGCUUGAUGACAUCAGAGAAUGUUGAGGGGGUGAAGGUCAGAUGCCAAAUAUAAAGAUGAGGGAAACUUUGCCCAGAACAAGUAAGGGGUCAGUAUGAGCUGUGACCCAUGGCAUUUAGUCUGUGAAGUACAAAGACACAAACCUGCUGAUAGUCUUUAAAUAUUGCUUUUCAGAAGGAAGGAGAAGAGAGAGAGGAGCUGGGUUAGGAGCUUGAACAAGAACAGGGAGAAAGACACAGUCAGGAAGAAGGAAGCUCUCCAGAAGGGAAGACGUGCUGACUGAACUUUCUGAGUGAAUUGGGUGCCUAGAUGCGUAGAAAACCACCUACACAUCCUUUUCUCAAACCCUGAAAUCGACCGAUGUCAGAGAAGCAAAGGAGAAAAUUAUUCCUUUUAAAGGAAAAGCGGGGAUGCCAGAGAAAGCCAGCGGUGCCGAUAGCCAUGAACCACAACGGAAGAGCAGAGUGACUUGGAAUAUGCUAGAAGGGCGCGUGAGGAAAAGCAGGAGCCCCAGACAAACGGAGGUCAGAGGUGCCAGACUUACAGGUGGCUAGUUUUGUCCCGUGAAUUUUCUACCUUGUAACCUGCCUGGCUGUUGGAGAAAUAGGUGGCACGAUGCAGAUGAAGAGGGGGUUUCCUUGCAAGUGGUCACGGUGCUGCCUCUGGAUCUUUCCAUCAGCACCAUGGGAGACAGUCAGAAAAGAAAACAGGCCUGGGACAGGAGCAAACAUCUCCACAGAAGAGGUGGCCCUGGACUUUGACUGGUCCCGGGGUGCCUGGAAGGGAAACCUUGGUGGCUUCUCAAUUCACCUCAUCUACCUUGAUACCAGCACCUCGAAUCUUCUAAGCCCCAGAGUCCCAGACAGAAGGAAAGCAUGUUUUGUUCCAAGCCCAGGAGCACAUAAUCCAACCAUCCACAUAUUCAUUUAUUCAUGCAACGAACAUUUACCAAACCCCAAUUUGCUGUCAAGGACUGUAUACUAUGAAAAUAUUUUCCCAAUAAGCAACUGAAAGGUGCUUGGCCUGUGUUCUCUUAGGGUUUGCUUUUGGUUUUUCAUUUCAAUGCAUUUCCACUUAAUGUGCUGCAUCAGACCCUCCCUCAGAUAUCCCCGCAAAGCCUCAGCUCGCUAAUAAUCAGCACCCUGCUCUCUUUAAAACGUUUAUGAUGGCAUCACAGGCCUGUCCUUUUCCAGAGGUGAUGGUGUUUUCUCUUCAGUCACCCUGGCAGCUGCGGAGGCCUUUCCCUAGCAAAUACGAACAGUGAAGACUCUGUGAUCUGUUCUCUGAGCUGAAGAAGAUUGAAAGAGUGCUUUGUAGAAAGCUCUGGAGAAAAACAAAAACAAAAACGUGGAUUUGACUGUUUUCAUAGAAAUCUAAAAACCUGGGAGGAGAACGUGAAAUAUGAUUUUUACAUGCCAAAACAUUUUGACCAAAAGGAUGAAACCAUGUGCCAGAUUCGUGGGAAGCAGUCAUCAUUUCCCAAGAUUCUGUGUGUCUGCCAGUGUUUUAUCCACAUGGUGUUCCAGCAGGGCCUCGAUGGCCCAGGAUACCAUGUCUGCAAUGUCUGAGCACUUACCUGGGGUAAGUGGGGCAUCUCUCUUCUAAGGGUCUAACCUGGGCUUCUUCACACUCUGAGAGGGGUCUCACCAGCAAGAGAGGGCAAGCAGCAGCGCACAUUUUCAGAGCCUGCAUAGCAGUGGCUCCGAUCCCUUUAGCUGGAUCAAAUGACACAGGUGGCCCCCAAUUCAAGCAGAGGGACCAGCUCCCCAUCUUCACUGUCAGAUCUGCAAAGCAACACGCCUGGUUCCUUUUCUCUCUGCUACGUGGAUUUGUGCCAGCCAAUAUUUCCAAACUUCAGCCCUCUCCAGAAACUGUUUCUUCCUGUGUCCCCUCUCAGGGAUAUUUCCUUCCCGUGCCCGCUGCGCCACCUGUGUCAGAGAAUGUGCGGAGGGUGUCGGGAUUGAUGACACAGAGACCAGUCGGUGGUGCAAAGUAAACAUGUUUUUAGUAAACAUGUCUUCUCUGCGGUCGGUUACAGAUGCCUGCUCCCAGGCUGAUGGGGAAGUGGGCCUCCAGCCAAGGUCUGUUGUUCCCACAUUUGCUCUUCCCGGGGACACCAUGGAAUCAUAACUGACUGUCUUGAUCUGUUGUGGCUCCUGUGAUAAAGUACUAUAAUGAAGUUCACAGUUCCCGCCUUUAGGUCACAAUAGCUGUUUUCUCCUUUCUCUCUCUCCAUCUCCCUCUCUGUUUGUCUGUCUGUCUGUCUGUCUGUGUAUGCGUGUAUAUAUGUGUGCGUGCAUGCGUGCAUAUGUGUGUGUAUGUGUGUGUGUGUGUGUGUGUGUGUGUGUACAUUGUUGUUGUUGAUCUUAUUUGUUUGGGGGGAUUUUUUAACGUAUAAACAUGUCUGGUAUACACAUAUUCCGAUGUAUGUGGGCACAUAUGAGAGUGCAUGUACAUGCAUGUAAGUGGCAGCCAGAGGUUGACAUUCCAUCGUCUUCCUCAAUUAAUCCCUGCCGUGUACAUUUUUGGUUUGGCUUGAAAACAAAGCCCACCAGUUUGACCAGACUAUCCAACUUGUUCUGGAGAGGUCCCAUGUCUAGCCCCCAGGGGUGAAAAGUAGGCCACCACACCUGCCUGACAGGUAGGUUCCGGAGAUCAAAAUUCCAGUCCCGAGGUUUUCAUGGCAAGCGCCUACCCACUGAGCCAUCCCUCCAGUCCCUGUUUGUUUUAUUCAGAGGCAGGAUCUCCAAAUGUUAGCCCAGGAUAGCUCCCCACUAUUGGUCCUCCUGCCUCAGCCUCCUAAGUGGCUGAGAUUACAGGUCUGAACUAUCAUGCCCGACUCACCUUCUCUAUUUUAAUCCCCCCAAAGGAAAGAGAGCAAAUUUUAUUGGGUCUCCUCCAUAACCUCAUUCAUGAGGACACGCCCUCAGGGCACAUUCACCUUCUGAAGACUAUCUCCAGGCAGCAUCAUACGUGAGGUUAUGAUUUUGACAUAAGCGAGGGUGCCUAGAAUGGACAAGCAUGCCUGCCAGCGGCCGUGUCAGAGGAGCAGCAGGAGACAACUGAAGUUCAAGGUGUCAGCCACCGAGAGAAAACUCUGACGGGUCAACCUUGGACUGGCAGAGCCCCGAGACCACAGGCCUGGCAUAUCUUUUACUUCAGCUGUGCCUUUGUGUGUUUGCGGCCGCCAUCUUUCUGUGGUGUCUGGCACGGUGUGAGUGGGUGUGGGGAGAUCCCCACUGCCUGCAAUGUCGUGUGUUUAUCUCAUGGAAACAUCUGUCCUCCUGGGCAUUUUUACCUGUGGAUUGCUAGAAGAUGAUUCCUCCCUAAGCUGUGCUGUCUGAUUGAUAACAAUAAUGCAAAUUUAAAUAGAGUGUUGAUGAUUAAAAAUACAAAACAAGGAAGUGUCACACAUGAGUUUCUAUUGAGGAGCCACAUAGACUGUGACUUAGGUUAAUGAUUAAGAAAAACAAUCGAGUCCCAGUAGCCCAGCUCAUUUAAAUUCUUUCAAUCUUAACAUUGGGAGAUAUGCUCACAGGUUUUGGAAUGCAUUCAUAGCUAAAUCAAAGCUUUGAAAAUAACUUAAGGUUAAACUAGAUGUUUUUCUCAAAUACCUUUGAGGUGAAAAUCCAAGAAGACAAUCUAAAGCUUUAGAAAGGUGCACAGUUGAAUGGGGAACUCUUCAAGGUCAGGGGAUAAGAACAAAGCAGCCUAAUUAUUACCGGCUGACCUAUUUUUCUUGCUAGGACAGCUUGAUAACUAAAAGUGAUGAUUAAUUUCUUAUACCCAUUUCAGCCCUCAAUCUCCUGGUAUAAAACAAACAAACAAACAAAAAAUAUUGGUGAGUGAGUUUGUACCCUAAAGAUUUAAAGUAGAGCUGACUGAUUCGUUUUCAUAUACAAAAGUUAAGUUUGCUAUUCCUUUAAGAUUCCUUAUAAGAUUACCUUUCAAGAUAAGUAAUAAAGUCAUUGGCCUUUUCUUUGUAACUGCAAAAUGCAGCCUGCCAGUAAGAGACCUAACUGAGAGUGCCUUGCUUACCCCACAGUUAAUCUGCAACAAGUGGCUUGGGUAUGAAUGGAUGUGGGUUCUUGAGAUAAUUUGCUUUUCACCUGUAAUACAUAACAUGUUUACUCAUGUAAGGGAUAUGGAAAACAUACUGUUUUCUUUUUUACUGUUUGCUUUGUAUUCAUUGUAAUCAUUCACUUGAAAAUCAAAAUGUAACCACAUUGUAAUUCCCGUAUUGCCUGAAAAACUUUGCUGGGGUAUAUAAGCUGUAGGAAAGGAAGUAUACGGUAGAGAAAGAACACAAAGAAGAGCAGCAGAGAAGAAUAGAGACUAGCGGAGGAAACCAUCAAGAAAGUGUGAGUACCUUUCACCCUAACCCCUCAGAUAGUAAGUGCCUGCUGUGAAUUUCCCUUAGAACCUUGUGCUGCUUAGAGGCUGCACCCCCUCCCCUCCAGGCUGCGAUACAGUCCUUAUCAGUAGAUGAAUAUAAAGGCCCUGUCUGUUAUCAAACUCAGGGCAACUCCACCAGCUUCAGACCCCCCCCCUCCCAGAAAUCACCUGGGGCUUUUAUGGAAACUAUGCAGCCUGAUUGCUCUCUGUUCAGUUGCUAUUCCUGCACUGCCCGGCAGAUGGCCACCUUAGGCACAACCCAGGGGACCUGUUCACUCUAACCUCUCCCGUGUCUGCUCCCUUGCAGCAGCUAAACCAAUCAGAAGGCCACCCCUGUUGGCACAUGGAGUUAAUGGAGCCUGACCUAAGAUGCAGAUGAAGCUGGUUAGGCUUCUGCCAGCGUUAAUACGAGGUAAAGGCGGGAAGAAAGGCAGUAAGGGUGGCAACUUCUCAGAGCAACCGGAAAAGUAAGAAGUGGGGAAGCAGUCCCUAUGACAAGGGCAGUAGGACCGAAGGCUGAACAGCAGCACGUACUUUGGAAAAAAAUCUCGUCAAAAGACUGAGCGAUGAGCAGCCAACUAUGAGCUGAGAUGUGAGCACGCGAGAGUCCUCGGUACUACACAGAAAGACGCUCAUCUGCAGCGGCAAAGAGGCAAAAGUCUCAAGAUCUGCUGUCCGAAGCUGAGGAUGGAAAUCGGGAACGCAUGGAAGCCCAAGAUGCAGGACGCCAACUGGACCAAUCCCUUCAAACCGCGAACCUUCAGAUUGCUGAGUGUCUGAAACUGUUUAAAGACAAGAUCUCAUGUGGCCCAAGAUGGUGGCCUUGAACUUCUGAUCCUGCUAGGACUGGCUCCCAGGUGCUGAAAUUCCUGUUGUGCACCACUGUAGCCACCACUAGUGGGGAUAGAACCAGGAGGUUGUGCCUGCUAGGCGAGCGCUCUACCACCUGAGCUACCAGCUCGAUGGUGUUCCUAGCUCUUACUAAGCCCCGGGACUGUGUGCUUGCUGGAAAGUGGAGAGAGGUGCCCACACCUCUCUCUGCCGUCUAAACCAGCCAGCCAGGAAGCCAGCCAGGAAGCAUGAAGAAGGGAAGAGCUUGAAGGAACCACUGGAGCUGACCAACAGGUGCUUGCCGGAGCCCAGAAGGUCCAAAUAGAGCUGAACUCUGGGGCCACUUGCUCCAGGGGGAAAGGGAAUUAGAAAAUAGCAUUGGAUAAGGAGGGUUUAUUGAUUCAGGGGUAAGUCCUCUAGGUGUGACUCUCUGACAAGGAUCCUGAGACCAGGGUAAACAUGCUCCCGGAAGCUUAGAGAAGUGAUGAUCUAACACACGGAACACCAGCACUUUAUGGAAGAUGGCUCUGAUAGACUCUGAUGCUCGUUUAUAGUCAGGAGAGGAAAAAAGCCACACAUUUUGGAGAAUGACUUAGAGUCUGAAUUGACAUAAACACUAAAAGACCCAAAAUCAUUUCAUGAUUCCUCUUCCUCAUGGAAGGUAUGAAUCACAGUAGGUCUUCUGUGUCCUAAGAGCUACCCAGUAGACAUCUACUCUACCUCUGGAUCACACACACAUACACACACGCACACACACUCACACACACAUGCGCGUGCACGCGCGCGCGCGCACACACACACACACACACACACACACACACACACACACGCACAGGUCCCUUGGUUUGUAGGUAAGAGAUCUCAUGGUACACAGAGUCAAAUAGAACCAAAGCCUCUGCUGUUGGUCCAUCCCUGAGCAAAGAGUGAAAGUGACCCUCCAUGACCAGGGUAAUCCCUCAUGGGUGAUGCAUCAGAACAUACCACAUAUUUAAUUCUAUGCUGUGCCAAAUCCACAGUGCUCCCUGCUGUGAAUUAUCAGCCUCAUUGAAAAGUUCAGACAAUUGUUUAGAGCCAGGGUACACAGCCCAAGAGCUGUUGUAUUUUUGUGGUUACUCUUAUGCAUGUGGGUGCUCUCAGAAUUCAGAUGAGGGUGUUUGUUGGGGAAGUCUUAUGUCAAUAAACCACUGUUGAGCCAAUAGGGAACCAAGAUAGGAGGGACUAGGAGUCCAGGAGGACUCUGGGAAGGAGAAACACAGG